rnacentral:rRNA from 1 species
UACGUAGGGGGCUAGCGUUGUCCGGAAUCAUUGGGCGUAAAGAGCGCGUAGGCGGCUAGAUAAGUCCGGUGUGAAAGUCACAGGCUCAACCUGUGAAUGCCGCUGGAAACUGUCUGGCUAGAGUCCGGAAGGGGCGAGUGGAAUUCCUGGUGUAGCGGUGAAAUGCGCAGAUAUCAGGAGGAACACCAUGGCGAAGGCAGCUCGCUGGGACGGUACUGACGCUGGAGGCGACGAAGGCGUGGGGAGCAAACAAC